rnacentral:rRNA from 1 species
GAUGAACGCUAGCGACAGGCUUAACACAUGCAAGUCGAGGGGCAGCAUGAUUUGUAGCAAUACAGAUUGAUGGCGACCGGCGCACGGGUGAGUAACGCGUAUGCAACUUACCUAUCAGAGGGGGAUAGCCCGGCGAAAGUCGGAUUAAUACCCACUAAACAAGGGUCCCGGCCAUGGGUAAGUAUUGUUAAAGAUUCAUCGCUGAUAGAUAGGCAUGCGUUCCACUUAGGCAGUUGGCGGGGUAACGGGCCCACCAAACCGACGAUGGAUA